UUAACUAGAUUUGGUGAAAGUGAGGUAGGGUUAGAGGAAACAGAAGCACCUUCCGAAAUUUGUUGGAAUUCCAAAUAUCUGAGAAACUAUCUAAUAUGACUGGCAACAGUAAAACUCAAGAGGUCAUUGAGAAUAUUUAAGAAUAGGGUUUUGUUUGUUUCCAUACCCACACAACACAAAUGGUCAUGAGGUGAAUGGGGGAAUUACGAGGCAGCCUAAUGUUGUCGAUCUCGUAGAAGCAAGUCAGCGUUGCUCCCUGCACAUACAUUACCACCUAACGCUUAACACUCGAUACUGAUAAAUAAUAGAAAAAAGAAAGAAAAAACAAAGGAAUAACAUUUUCUCUCACAACAAAUAUAAUGAAACACAAAUAAGAAAUUACCACAUCACUCGCAAGUGGAAUGUUCAGUUCACAGACGCGUCAUUGGACAAGGCUUCUCUCCCUCCACUACUUUACGCUUAAACCCCUCCUGAAAUCCAUUUUGAACCAAUUAAAAAAUCAACCAAUAGAAACACUCACCAAUCACAUUUCUCCCAUUUUUAACCAAAACAAUUCCUCAAAAAUCCUCUCUUUCUCUCUCUCUCCUUCUCUCUUCUGUACUUUACGUGAACUGAAAAUCACAGUUACUUUUAUGAGAAUCUCCGAGAUUAUGAUUACCAUUAACCUCCCUCGUGCCUCAACUCAAUCCAAAUACCUCCAAAUCGCAGCGUUAAUAUCAGAUAUAUACCAAUGCAAAGCGAUUGGUAAUAAUAUCUCAGAAAGUGCAUGUCCGAAACUAGAUUUGGAGGGGUUAUGUCUCCCCCACUGACUUACCCAGAAAAAAAUAUUGGAGGGUUAGUCCGACAUUCUUACCGGCUUAUCAUUUCCAUGGAGUUCGCAUUCCCU
rnacentral:lncRNA from 1 species